rnacentral:rRNA from 1 species
GAGUUUGAUCAUGGCUCAGAUUGAACGCUGGCGGCAUGCCUUACACAUGCAAGUCGAACGGCAGCAUGAUCUAGCUUGCUAGAUUGAUGGCGAGUGGCGAACGGGUGAGUAAUACAUCGGAACGUGCCCUGUAGUGGGGGAUAACUAGUCGAAAGAUUAGCUAAUACCGCAUACGACCUGAGGGUGAAAGUGGGGGACCGCAAGGCCUCAUGCUAUAGGAGCGGCCGAUGUCUGAUUAGCUAGUUGGUGGGGUAAAGGCCCACCAAGGCGACGAUCAGUAGCUGGUCUGAGAGGACGAUCAGCCACACUGGGACUGAGACACGGCCCAGACUCCUACGGGAGGUAGCAGUGGGGAAUUUUGGACAAUGGGGGCAACCCUGAUCCAGCAAUGCCGCGUGUGUGAAGAAGGCCUCGGUU